rnacentral:rRNA from 1 species
CCUACGGGUGGCAGCAGUGAGGAAUAUUGGUCAAUGGACGGAAGUCUGAACCAGCCAUGCCGCGUGCAGGAAGACGGCUCUAUGAGUUGUAAACUGCUUUUGUACAAGGGUAAACCUGAAUACGUGUAUUCAGCUGAAAGUACUGUACGAAUAAGGAUCGGCUAACACUGUGCCAGCAGCCGCGGUAAUACGGAGGAUCCACGCGUUAUCCGGAUUUAUGGGGUUUAAAGGGUGAGCAGGCGGAUUGAUAAGUUAGAGGUGAAAUGUCCGGGCUUAACUCGGGAACUGCCGCUAAUACUGGUGAUCUAGAGAGUAGAUGCGGUAGGCGGAAUGUAUGGUGUAGCGGUGAAAUGCUUAGAGAUCAUACAGAACACCGAUGGCGAAGGCAGGUUACCAAUCUAUAUCUGACGUUGAGGCACGAAAGCGUGGGGAGCAAACAGGAUUAGAUACCCUGGUAGUC